UACGAACUGCGCGAACGUUAUUCGGAAUCACUGGGCUUACAGGGUGCGUAGGCGGCCGAUCAGGUCAGGUGUGAAAUCCCACGGCCCAACCGUGGAAUGGCGCUUGAAACCGAUCGGCUUGAGUGAGCUAGGGGUGCACGGAACUUCCAGUGGAGCGGUGAAAUGUGUUGAUAUUGGAAGGAACACCAGAAGCGAAAGCGGUGCACUGGGGCUUGUCUGACGCUGAGGCACGAAAGCCAGGGGAGCGAACGGG
rnacentral:misc_RNA from 1 species